rnacentral:tRNA from 1 species
CACCUAUAGAGCAAUGGAUAGCGCGUUGGACUUAUAAUCCAAAGGUUGUGGGUUCGAAUCCCACCUAGGAUGG